CAGGGGUUAUUUUAUAAAAAUAUUAAUUUUGGGGAUUAAAGAAAGAGUUAGGAUGACUUUACCUCUGA
rnacentral:tRNA from 1 species